CACAACAGUGACUGACUCUCCAACCUGCCUGUUCCCACUCCCUGGAGGAAUAUGGGUGCAACAUCCUCUCUGAGUUCCUGUCCAGGCAAGUUACAAGAAGCACACAAGAAAGCAACCCCUUCUGAAAGAAGACCAGACUUGAUUGCUGCUUUUCAUCAUUUCCCUUCCAGAUUGGUUACAUUUCUAAAGCUUUUAUCUUCAGAGACCCAGAGAACCGAGCUGGAGAACCGAAAAUGAGUCUAUUAUACAGGACCAACACGGCAAGUCUUCACUAAACAUCUGCUCAUCUGGUGUUGUUUACUUGUGCAAAUUUGCCUGAAUUAAUUGCAGUGCCGCUCAUGGCACUAAAAUUAACCGUCUGCUAGCAUUUCCAUUGUAAGCAUUUAGUUUCAGAAGUCUAUA